rnacentral:tRNA from 1 species
GAGGGGAUAGCUCCGUGGUUAGAGCAAUGCUUUGCAUGCACAAGGUCCUGGGUUCAAACCCCAGUCCCUCCA